GAAAACUGUAAUCGGAAGGUCAUCUCAUUUAACUCUCAUCUGAAGCAAGAAUCUUUUCAAAAUUCUAAUUCAAGAGCUUUCACGUUGGGUUCCUAAGGUUUUGGGGGACAGACUCUCUUGGCUCUAUGGUAAAAUCUGCAGACCUUCUCAGAAAGAUGUUUUUAAAUGCAUGAAAUAAAGUGAAUAUGAUUACAAGAGAAAUCUAAUCUAAUGGUAUCCACUUCCCAAAAUAUCUUCUUUUCUUUUUUUAAACUUUGCCUUCCAUCUCUUGACCUGGUUCUCAACACUGAGCCACUGAGCUGCCCCCUCAAAAUAUCUUUUAAAAAACACGCUUGUUUGUGGGCCUCAGGUUAAGAACCACUGCCCUAGAAGGAUCUGUUGAAUAAUUCACUCCACAAAUAUUGAGCCCCUGUUCUGUGCCAGACAUUGCUUUAGACAUCAGGGUUACAAAGACAUAAGAACAGACAAUAUUUAGCCUGGAGAAUUUGAGAAACCUUGGGAGCCGGGAGGCAAGGAGACAUCAUCACUGUCUCAAAGUAUCUGAAGAGCAGGCACGAGGAAGAGGGAUUCAAUUUGGUCUUCUCAGCCCCGGUGAGGAAGCGCUAGGAGCGGUGGGCAGGCAUUGAAAGGAGGCAGACUGGUGGCUCACUACCAGAACGAACUUCUACCAAUUAGAGCUAUCCAAAAGUAGUCUGGGCUGCCCGAGUGGAAGUGGGGGGUGGGAGUCUACCCAUUGCCUAGCACAAAAGUAGAGAUUUGAAGGGAUUCUUGCUUCAAGUGAGAGUUGAAUGAGAUGACCUCAAAGGACCAUAUCUUGCAUAUAUAUUUAUACAUAUAUAUUCUGACAUACCGUCAGAAUACCUACAUUCAAAUCCUGACUCUACUAUUUUCUACCUGGUGACUUUAGGCAAGUCAUUUUUCCUGUGCUGAACCUCAGUUUCCCCUUCUGUAAAGUAAGGGUUUGGACUCCUUUUAGCAUUAACUCUUUUAUUUACCCAAGAUCUCAUAUCUAGGUGUUGAAGGGACUUCACAGGUCGUCUAGUCCACAUUCUACAGAGGAGUAAAACAAAGCCCAGGAUGCUUAUUAGCUCAAGGUCAUAAGGUCUGGGUCAUUGCCUGAGUUGGUCUUGGGAGUCCUUUUUUUCAUAAGAGUCAGGACUAGAACUCAGGUCCCCUGGCUUUAGAGCCAGUGCUUUUUUCCACAUCACCAUGAUUCAGUGGAGCCUCCCUACACUGUGGGGUUGAGGACCAUUCCCAGGUCUAGGCUACCUUUGCUUAUUUAUUCUAUAGAGGAGAGAGGACAGCUAGGUGGUCCAAUGGAUAGAGCCCUGGGCUUGGAGUCAGGAAAACCUGAGUUUAAAUCUGGCCUCAAACAUUUACUAACUGUGUGACCCUGGGCAAGUCAAUGAACCUUACUUGCCUCGGUUUCCUCAUCCAUCAAAUGAGCCAGAGAAGGAAAUGGCAAAGUACUCCAGUCCAUUGGCCAAGACAACCCCAAAUGACAUCACAAAGAGUCAGACACAAGUGGAGAAUGGCUGAACGUUGACACAGAAGAGAGAACUAGAAGCCCGUGAGGGUGAAGAUGGAAUCUGGGAAACCUGGAUAUGCCUGAAGUCCCAGGAGAGAGGCAGAAACUAGCCAAAGCUUCCCGGCCAGUAGUGGCAGAGCCAAGACGAGAACCGGGUCCUCUCUGCUGUGGCUCCAUUUAAGCCAGACCCAAAGUGUAAUCUAAUGAUGGAGGUCCCGAUGACCUCCCAGGGGCCCAUGCUGCUGGCUCUGCCACCACUGGUGUCCGCCGGCGAGUCAUUGAACUUCUAGGCCUCCGUUUCCUUCCCUAAAAAAGAAGGGGAUCCCUCCGCCUGGACUCAAAGAUCUUCUCAUGCCGUGAACCCGGGAUCCCAAGGGGAGGAAGCCACGGACAUUCUUGACAGUCAUGGGAAAGCAGGAUCCCCAAAUUCUUCCCCAGGCCUCGGCACCUCAGAGAACAAUGGAGGAGGGGUGGGUACCAUCAGCAUCAUUUUGAGCAAGGCCCAAAGCAUGAAAUAUUUGGAGUCAAAGGAACUUUGGAUUCGAAUUCUCUCUCUCUGCCACUUACCUUACCCACGGGGCCUCGAGUAAAUCAUUUAACAUCUUCAA